ACGACCAUAGGAAGUGGAGAACAGGGCUUCCCGUCCGCUCAGCCGUACUUAAACCACUUGCCGGCCGGCUAGUAGUUGGGUGGGUGACCACCAGCGAAUCCCGGCUGUUGUAUGUU
rnacentral:rRNA from 1 species